rnacentral:rRNA from 1 species
CAGUACCUCAAGUGGUCAGGAUGAUUAUUGGGCCUAAAGCAUCCGUAGCCGGCGCUGUAAGUUUUCGGUUAAAUCUGUACGCUCAACGUACAGGCUGCCGGGAAUACUGCAGCGCUAGGGAGUGGGAGAGGUAGACGGUACUCGGUAGGAAGGGGUAAAAUCCUUUGAUCUAUUGAUGACCACCUGUGGCGAAGGCGGUCUACCAGAACACGUCCGACGGUGAGGGAUGAAAGCUGGGGGAGCAAUCCGGAUUAGAUACCCGAGUAGUCC